rnacentral:rRNA from 1 species
UACAGAGGGGGCAAGCGUUGUUCGGAAUUACUGGGCGUAAAGGGCGCGUAGGCGGCCUUCUAAGUCGAACGUGAAAUCCCCGGGCUCAACCCGGGAACUGCGUCCGAUACUGGAAGGCUUGAAUCCGGGAGAGGGAUGCGGAAUUCCAGGUGUAGCGGUGAAAUGCGUAGAUAUCUGGAGGAACACCUGCGGCGAAGGCGGGUAGCUGGGCCAACACUGACGCUGAGACGCGAAAGCUAGGGGAGCAAACGGG